GAUGAACGCUGGCGGCGUGCCUAAUACAUGCAAGUCGAGCGAACAGACGAGGAGCUUGCUCCUCUGACGUUAGCGGCGGACGGGUGAGUAACACGUGGAUAACCUACCUAUAAGACUGGGAUAACUUCGGGAAACCGGAGCUAAUACCGGAUAAUAUAUUGAACCGCAUGGUUCAAUAGUGAAAGACGGUUUUGCUGUCACUUAUAGAUGGAUCCGCGCCGCAUUAGCUAGUUGGUAAGGUAACGGCUUACCAAGGCAACGAUGCGUAGCCGACCUGAGAGGGUGAUCGGCCACACUGGAACUGAGACACGGUCCAGACUCCUACGGGAGGCAGCAGUAGGGAAUCUUCCGCAAUGGGCGAAAGCCUGACGGAGCAACGCCGCGUGAGUGAUGAAGGUCUUCGGAUCGUAAAACUCUGUUAUUAGGGAAGAACAAAUGUGUAAGUAACUAUGCACGUCUUGACGGUACCUAAUCAGAAAGUCACGGCUAACUACGUG
rnacentral:rRNA from 1 species